rnacentral:rRNA from 1 species
GCCUUGAUGUGUAGGAUAGGUGGGAGGCUUUGAAGUGUGGACGCCAGUCUGCAUGGAGCCGACCUUGAAAUACCACCCUUUAAUGUUUGAUGUUCUAACGUGGACCCGUUACCCGGGUUGCGGACAGUGUCUGGUGGGUAGUUUGACUGGGGCGGUCUCCUCCUAAAGAGUAACGGAGGAGCACGAAGGUUGGCUAAUCCUGGUCGGACAUCAGGAGGUUAGUGCAAUGGCAUAAGCCAGCUUGACUGCGAGCGUGACGGCGCGAGCAGGUGCGAAAGCAGGUCAUAGUGAUCCGGUGGUUCUGAAUGGAAGGGCCAUCGCUCAACGGAUAAAAGGUACUCCGGGGAUAACAGGCUGAUACCGCCCAAGAGUUCAUAUCGACGGCGGUGUUUGGCACCUCGAUGUCGGCUCAUCACAUCCUGGGGCUGAAGUAGGUCCCAAGGGUAUGGCUGUUCGCCAUUUAAAGUGGUACGCGAGCUGGGUUUAGAACGUCGUGAGACAGUUCGGUCCCUAUCUGCCGUGGGCGCUGGAGAACUGAGGGGGGCUGCUCCUAGUACGAGAGGACCGGAGUGGACGCAUCACUGGUGUUCGGGUUGUCAUGCCAAUGGCACUGCCCGGUAGCUAAAUGCGGAAGAGAUAAGUGCUGAAAGCAUCUAAGCACGAAACUUGCCCCGA